UACGAAGGGGGCUAGCGUUGCUCGGAAUCACUGGGCGUAAAGGGCGCGUAGGCGGGCUCUUAAGUCCGGGGUGAAAGCCCAAGGCUCAACCUUGGAAUUGCCUUUGAUACUGAGGGCCUUGAGACCGGAAGAGGUCGGCGGAACUGCGAGUGUAGAGGUGAAAUUCGUAGAUAUUCGCAAGAACACCAGUGGCGAAGGCGGCCGACUGGUCCGGUUCUGACGCUGAGGCGCGAAAGCGUGGGGAGCAAACAGG
rnacentral:rRNA from 1 species